CUUUAGAAUGUUAGCAUUUUUUAUUAUAAUAUUUAUGUUCAUGUGUGUUUUUAUAGUUUUUAAGUAUGCUCACAGUGUCCACAAUGCUGUUCAAUGAGAAGCUUUUAAUUAGACACUGCCCAGUAUUACCAAGGAGGUUAGUGCUGGGCAGAAAGUGGGUGGAUCAGCUUAGCUGCAAAACUUGUAGAAGAUGUUGCAUGUUAGGCUUGUUUUGUCAAACAGCUCCAUAACCCUACAGUAAUAUGUAUAAAUGUAUAAUGGACUGGCCCCACCCAACAUGGCAGCCCAGAUCCAACAUACCAGCAAUCCCAGAUAAUCAUAUUGCAUUUUUAUGGAAUACCCGAAAACAAAGGCAUUAACAUAACUUACGUUACAAGCAAUGCUACUCCAUGUUUGCACGACUUGCUUCAGUUGGAGAAACGGUUAAAUAUCACUAUUUAUUUUCUCUAGCCCCAAAAUAAUGACAAAAAAAUCUUUCUUAGCACAACCCUCACUUAUUCUAAUAUUAAAGCUGCCACCACCAAGAUACUUUAAAUAUGUGGAGUCCUAUGUCACCAAGGCAAAAUAAGGUGCCCCCCCCCCCACCCCUGAAAUAAAAGGCACAUGAGUCUCAUACCAGACAGAGCUAGAACUUUUAAUAAACAUUUUUUUAUGAACAAAAAUAGCAACAGUAAAUACAAAUAAUAAAUACUACCAAACAAUUUACACCAAAUAGACACAAUUUAAACUAAGAAAUGAACACAAAUAAUAACUAGUAUUUAUAUAGCAGCCAGUGGGACUCAAAGCACUUUUCAGCACACUCAGAAUUAACCAAAUUGUCUGCUGAAUAGUAAUAAAUGUUAUUAUCCAAUUGAUAGCACUCAUUUUAUUGACCUCAGAAGGACAAAAUGCUGAGUUGACCCUGAUGGGAUUUGAACCUGUGACCUUGCAUUAUUUGAACAGACUUUGUGGGUAGGGAAUUUACAAACUGAGCUACCUCAGCAGCUAGCAUGUACUACUCCCCUAGUGAAAUAACUGUAUGUUCUGCCUUUGGUAUGGAAAGUAAAAAUCUAAAACUACAAUUUGACUCUGAAACUGAAUUACAAAGCUUUAAAGUGUAUCAAGUUAUAAUUAGAUAUAAUGCAAUACAUUUUUGUAUAGGUGCUCCUGUUCUCUUGGUAAACAGGUCUGAUCAUCUCUGUGAAUCUAGACAAUUAAUUUGACACCGAAGUAUAUAUUUUAUGUCUAAUGACCUACACGUUAAAUUGCUGCCAAAAACAUUUCCAAAAGUGAAAGUCAGUGAACUUUAGAAGAACUUAAACUGUACAUUGCAAAUAUUGUGUUGGUUUUUUUUUCAAGCUAUGACUGCUCGGGUCAUGAUUAAUAAUCUUCCAGUAAUUAAAGGGAUACACCAGAGCCCCCAAAAAUUUAAAUAUAAUAUUUAGU